AGAAUCAACGCUGGCGGCGUGCCUAACACAUGCAAGUCGCACGAGAAAGGGACUUCGGUCCUGAGUACAGUGGCGCACGGGUGAGUAACACGUGAAUCAUCUACCUCCGAGUGGGGAAUAAACUGAGAGAAAUCUUAGCUAAUACCGCAUAACACUUACGAGUCAAAGCAGCAAUGCGCUUGGAGAGGAGUUCGCGGCAGAUUAGUUAGUUGGCGGGGUAAUGGCCCACCAAGACGAUGAUCUGUAUCCGGCCUGAGAGGGCGCACGGGACACACUGGAACUGAAACACGGUCCAGACUCCUACGGGAGGCAGCAGUGGGGAAUUUUGCGCAAUGGGGGAAACCCUGACGCAGCAACGCCGCGUGGAGGAUGAAAUCCCUUGGGAUGUAAACUCCUUCGAUAGGGAAGAUAAUGACGGUACCUAUAGAAGAAGCCCCGGCUAACUCGUGCCAGCAGCCGC
rnacentral:rRNA from 1 species